UGCAAGUCGAACGGUAGCACAGAGAGCUUGCUCUCGGGUGACGAGUGGCGGACGGGUGAGUAAUGUCUGGGAAACUGCCCGAUGGAGGGGGAUAACUACUGGAAACGGUAGCUAAUACCGCAUAACGUCUACGGACCAAAGUGGGGGACCUUCGGGCCUCACACCAUCGGAUGUGCCCAGAUGGGAUUAGCUGGUAGGUGGGGUAAUGGCUCACCUAGGCGACGAUCCCUAGCUGGUCUGAGAGGAUGACCAGCCACACUGGAACUGAGACACGGUCCAGACUCCUACGGGAGGCAGCAGUGGGGAAUAUUGCACAAUGGGCGCAAGCCUGAUGCAGCCAUGCCGCGUGUAUGAAGAAGGCCUUCGGGUUGUAAAGUACUUUCAGCGGGGAGGAAGGGUUGCUGGUUAAUAACCAGUGACAUUGACGUUACCCGCAGAAGAAGCACCGGCUAACUCCGUGCCAGCAGCCGCGGUAAUACGGAGGGUGCAAGCGUUAAUCGGAAUUACUGGGCGUAAAGCGCACGCAGGCGGUCUGUCAAGUCAGAUGUGAAAUCCCCGGGCUUAACCUGGGAACUGCAUUUGAAACUGGCAGGCUAGAGUCUUGUAGAGGGGGGUAGAAUUCCAGGUGUAGCGGUGAAAUGCGUAGAGAUCUGGAGGAAUACCGGUGGCGAAGGCGGCCCCCUGGACAAAGACUGACGCUCAGGUGCGAAAGCGUGGGGAGCAAACAG
rnacentral:rRNA from 1 species